rnacentral:rRNA from 1 species
AUGAACGCUGGCGGCGUGCCUAAUCCAUGCAAGUCGAGCGAACAGACGAGGAGCUUGCUCCUCUGACGUUAGCGGCGGACGGGUGAGUAACACGUGGAUAACCUACCUAUAAGACUGGGAUAACUUCGGGAACCGGAGCUAAUACCGGAUAAUAUAUUGAACCGCAUGGUUCAAUAGUGAAAGACGGUUUUGCUGUCACUUAUAGAUGGAUCCGCGCCGCAUUAGCUAGUUGGUAAGGUAACGGCUUACCAAGGCAACGAUGCGUAGCCGACCUGAGAGGGUGAUCGGCCACACUGGAACUGAGACACGGUCCAGACUCCUACGGGAGGCAGCAGUAGGGAAUCUUCCGCAAUGGGCGAAAGCCUGACGGAGCAACGCCGCGUGAGUGAUGAAGGUCUUCGGAUCGUAAAACUCUGUUAUUAGGGAAGAACAAAUGUGUAAGUAACUAUGCACGUCUUGACGGUACCUAAUCAGAAAGCCACGGCUAACUACGUG